UCUGAUCAAGCUCUGCCUUGUGACGCUCC
rnacentral:piRNA from 1 species